GUUUACUCACCUCGUUCCUCAACGGGUCGAGCUUAUAGACGUUCUGUAGCUGAUUUCUUAGCCGCAUAGCUAUCGCCAUCGGACCUUGCUCCGCCAUCUUUGGGAAUUCUGCAUACUUCCGGGUAACGGGAGAGUGGGUUUGUGGGUCCAUCAGCUCCUAUAAUCUGCACUCUUUUGAAUAGGGAAAGAGGAUUGAGGUUAUAGUCCUGUGACCCGGAUAACUGAACUGACAAACAGACAUGACCUUACAAAACAGUUUGCUGUUUUCCCACCAGGGGGCGCUAUAGAGCAGAAGAUGGAGUCUUUCGGGCAGCCUAUGCUCCAUCAUUUGGUACUUUGUUGGAAGGGCUCAUACAAGAACUAAAAGAGUGGCCAAAGACAGUCUAAGUAAUAACAACGCAGAGCCAUCUCUGGCUGGUUCAGAGUUUGAGUGACACCUUCAAUAGCAGAACCCAAAAUGACCUCUGCAUGCAGAGAGAGAUCCUGG